rnacentral:rRNA from 1 species
UACGAAGGGGGCUAGCGUUGCUCGGAAUCACUGGGCGUAAAGCGCACGUAGGCGGAUUGCUAAGUCAGGGGUGAAAUCCUGGAGCUCAACUCCAGAACUGCCUUUGAUACUGGCGACCUUGAGUCCGGGAGAGGUGAGUGGAACUGCGAGUGUAGAGGUGAAAUUCGUAGAUAUUCGCAAGAACACCAGUGGCGAAGGCGGCUCACUGGCCCGGUACUGACGCUGAGGCUGCGAAAGCGUGGGGAGCAAACAGG